UCGCUAAGUAAAAGCUUUCUAUUCUACCAUGAAGAAUGAUUGAUAUAUAUUAUUACUUAGUAGCAAAAAGCUCUCGCUACGUUCCUUCACUCUCUUCAUCUAUCUCAAAGCUAUUCAUGAAACCAAAAGAAGCCUUCACUAAAGAUGAUGAUGAUGGCUAUAAAACUAAGAACUGAAUUUGGACCACAAUGUUCCCCUGCAGAAGCAGAAGCUUCAUACUAAGCAGCAUGGUGCUAUCUUACCUGAGCUUUUUAAUUUACAUUAUAAUAAUUUCUAAAUAAUUAUAAUAAUCCCCACCCUAGCUACAAAUGUUGUUGUUCAUUUUUAUUUUCUUGACCUUGUAAGACCUUUUUCUUGACCUUGUAAGACCUAAAACCCUGUGUGUUCUCCUUCUUUUUGCUUCCAUGGAAGACACUAUGCCAAAACUUAUUGAAAUAGUGUUUAAUCUCUUCCUUUCCCCAUUGCCACCUAACUCUUCUUCUCCUUCCUUGUCUAUCCCUCCUGAGCUUUGCCAAUUUUAUUUGGCCUGCAU